GGUGGCCGGCGAAUCCCCGCCCAGCCAGGUGUCAGUCCUCGAGGCCAGGCCGGACACCGCCGGAGCGAGGGCCACGGGGACGGGGUGCUGGCGCUGCCCGCGAGACCUGACCCCAGCCCAGCGAGCGCCUUGCUGCCCUCGUCCCGUCCCAGCCCUCCGGAGAGAGGGCCCCGGGGGUCAGGGGCUUGGACGCUCCCGGGGGGAUAUAGGGCCUGGUCGCUGCAUCAAAAUGAAUUUUGUGAAGCGAUUUCCUGCCGCUAUAUUAAAAUGUAACCGGCCUGCUGAGUCACGGAAUAUUCUCAGCGCCAGAAUGACUCAGUUCGCGGAACCCGAGCCAGAAGAUCAUGAGUUUCGGUCCUAGAUCAGAACCUGGGCACUGGCCCAAUAUAGAGCAAAUGAUGACUGGGUCCGAGUGACAGUAGCCCAGCAGAAUGCGGCGGUUCUCAGACUUUUGAGUCCUCGAGCAAAGUGGAUGCUCGAAGUGAAUGCCCAGGAUGGAUUUUUUUUUUUAAACUUUUCAGAAAAGUAAGAAUACUACACGGUUUUAGAUGCAGUAGGCCUGUUCAGACAGGGAUAGUGGGGAUCUGAAACAAUAAAAUAAGUAAAUGUUAGGUGACUAUGGUUAGGGUCAGUGUUAGUCCCACAAUUACUAAUUAGGAGGGCCUUAGGCAUAAUGGUCUAGUUGGAUUGGGCGGAGGCCUGGGGCGUCCAGAGGACUUUGGCAGAGCCUGCUUUUUGAGUAUAUCAUCAUAUAUUGCUAUGAGGUAUUGUUCGUUUAUUGGAUGAGAUAGGUGGAGAUGAUACAUAGUUAGAAGUCUCAAACCAUUCACCCAGCACCCUCUUUUUGGGAGAAGGAAGUUGUGAGGACAAUAAUAAUGUUUAAUCCUUUCAUACUGGAGUUGAAGCAUCAGUAUAUUCACUUAUACCUAAAGGAGAUGAUAUCCUCAGCUCUUCCUUGUGCUUGGGAACAAAGGAGCAAAGAUAAAGACGACUUUAUUAAUACCAACAAACUAAAGGAACCUCAUCUGACAUUUGUAAAGCACAUAAAGAGACCUUGA
rnacentral:lncRNA from 1 species